UUAACUAAUCAAGAUUGGACUAACGUUAAAAUUCUGUUAGAUUUUUUAGAACAUUUUCAUGUGGCUACAAAUGCUUUAUCUGGCCAAUACUAUCCAACUUUUUCUAACUGUUUAGUAUAUAUUGCCGCACUUGCUAAUUUAUUUGUUGAUUUUAACGAGGGAGGGGAAACUUAUGAAUAUGCAAUAACAGAAAUGAAAAAGAAGUUUAAAAAAUAUUUUUUUCAAAUCCCUCAUAUAUAUGGUGUGUCUGCUAUGCUAAAUCCUACUAUGAAAUUAGGAGGACCUC
rnacentral:lncRNA from 1 species